CGAGCAGCCUGGACUGGUGCGAUGGGCGGAGCGAACUGGAGGCGACGCCCUGCACCAGGUCUGGUGUCAUCAGACGGACAACCAAAGACGUCCAUCAGGUGUGUGUCUACGUGGACGACGUCGUCCAACAGGUGUGUGUCUACGUGGACAAAGUCUUCCAUCAGGUGUGUGUCUACGUGGACGACGUCGUCCAUCAGGUGUGUGUCUACAUGGACGACGUCGUC